AUUGAACGCUGGCGGCAGGCCUAACACAUGCAAGUCGAACGGUAACAGAAAGCAGCUUGCUGCUUUGCUGACGAGUGGCGGACGGGUGAGUAAUGUCUGGGAAACUGCCUGAUGGAGGGGGAUAACUACUGGAAACGGUAGCUAUACCGCAUUACGGCCGAAGAACCAAGAGGGGGAACUUCCGGCCCCCUGCCAAUGGGAGUGCCCAGAUGGGAUUAGCUAGUAGGUGGGGUAACGGCUCACCUAGGCGACGAUCCCUAGCUGGUCUGAGAGGAUGACCAGCCACACUGGAACUGAGACACGGUCCAGACUCCUACGGGAGGCAGCAGUGGGGAAUAUUGCACAAUGGGCGCAAGCCUGAUGCAGCCAUGCCGCGUGUAUGAAGAAGGCCUUCGGGUUGUAAAGUACUUUCAGCGGGGAGGAAGGGAGUAAAGUUAAUACCUUUGCUCAUUGACGUUACCCGCAGAAGAAGCACCGGCUAACUCCGUG
rnacentral:rRNA from 1 species